rnacentral:tRNA from 1 species
GUCCCAGUAGCGCAAUAAAUAGCGCGUUGGACUUCUAAUCCAAAGGGUCGUGGAUUCGAAUUCCACGUGCUAUGGCA